rnacentral:rRNA from 1 species
UGGGGAAUAUUGCGCAAUGGGCGAAAGCCUGACGCAGCUAUGCCGCGUGUGUGAUGAAGGCCUUCGGGUUGUAAAGCACUGUCGGGAGGGACGAAAUUUGACGGUACCUCGCAAGAAAGCGCCGGCUAACUCCGUGCCAGCAGCCGCGGUAAUACGGAGGGCGCAAGCGUUGCUCGGAAUCACUGGGCGUAAAGCGAACGCAGGCGGACAUUUAAGUCGGAUGUGAAAGCCCUGGGCUCAACCCGGGAACUGCAUUCGAAACUGGAUGUCUUGAGUUCGAGAGAGGGUGGUGGAAUUCCUGGUGUAGAGGUGAAAUUCGUUGAUAUCAGGAGGAACAUCGGCGGCGAAGGCGGCCACCUGGCUCGAUACUGACGCUCAUGUUCGAAAGCGUGGGGAGCAAACAGGAUUAGAUACCCCCGUAGUCC